AGGGUUUGAUUAUGGCUCAGGAUGAACGCUGGCGGCGUGCCUAACACAUGCAAGUCGAACGGAGAUGCGAUGUGAGCGAGAGGUGCUUGCACUGAUUAAUCUUUUCGUAUCUUAGUGGCGGACGGGUGAGUAACGCGUGGGUAACCUGCCUUAUACCGGGGGAUAACACUUAGAAAUAGGUGCUAAUACCGCAUAAGCGCACGGUGUCGCAUGACACAGUGUGAAAAACUCCGGUGGUAUAAGAUGGACCCGCGUCUGAUUAGCCAGUUGGCAGGGUAACGGCCUACCAAAGCGACGAUCAGUAGCCGGCCUGAGAGGGUGAACGGCCACAUUGGGACUGAGACACGGCCCAA
rnacentral:rRNA from 1 species